rnacentral:snRNA from 1 species
GGGCUCAAUUCAGCAGCACAUAUACUAAAAUUGGAAUGAUACAGAGAUUAGCAUGGCCCCUGCGCAAGGAUGACAACACAAAUUUGUGAAGCGUUCCAUAUUUUU